CACAGAAGAAUCCAGAGAUGGAUUUGUGCCUUCGGGAACUGUGAGACAGGUGCUGCAUGGCUGUCGUCAGCUCGUGUUGUGAAAUGUUGGGUUAAGUCCCGCAACGAGCGCAACCCUUAUCCUUUGUUGCCAGCGAUUAGGUCGGGAACUCAAAGGAGACUGCCAGUGAUAAACUGGAGGAAGGUGGGGAUGACGUCAAGUCAUCAUGGCCCUUACGACCAGGGCUACACACGUGCUACAAUGGCGCAUACAAAGAGAAGCGACCUCGCGAGAGCAAGCGGACCUCAUAAAGUGCGUCGUAGUCCGGAUUGGAGUCUGCAACUCGACUCCAUGAAGUCGGAAUCGCUAGUAAUCGUGGAUCAGAAUGCCACGGUGAAUACGUUCCCGGGCCUUGUACACACCGCCCGUCACACCAUGGGAGUGGGUUGCAAAAGAAGUAGGUAGCUUAACCUUCGGGAGGGCGCUUACCACUUUGUGAUUCAUGACUGGGGUGAAGUCGUAACAAGGUAACCGUAGGGGAACCUGCGGUUGGA
rnacentral:rRNA from 1 species